rnacentral:rRNA from 1 species
UCCUGGCUCAGAUUGAACGCUGGCGGCAUGCCUUACACAUGCAAGUCGAACGGCAGCACGGGGGCAACCCUGGUGGCGAGUGGCGAACGGGUGAGUAAUACAUCGGAACGUGUCCUGUAGUGGGGGAUAGCCCGGCGAAAGCCGGAUUAAUACCGCAUACGCUCUACGGAGGAAAGGGGGGGAUCUUAGGACCUCUCGCUACAGGGGCGGCCGAUGGCAGAUUAGCUAGUUGGUGGGGUAAAGGCCUACCAAGGCGACGAUCUGUAGCUGGUCUGAGAGGACGACCAGCCACACUGGGACUGAGACACGGCCCAGACUCCUACGGGAGGCAGCAGUGGGGAAUUUUGGACAAUGGGGGCAACCCUGAUCCAGCAAUGCCGCGUGUGUGAAGAAGGCCUUCGGGUUGUAAAGCACUUUUGUCCGGAAAGAAAACCGCCGCCCUAAUAUGGUGGUGGGAUGACGGUACCGGAAGAAUAGCACCA